AAUGACCCAAAAGGAAAGUCAAAGAUUGUUUUUGGUCACGAGACUGUAUCUGCAAAGGUUCAUCCUAAGCUCAAAUCAAAGUUUUAUGUUGGAGAUAAAGGGCUUUCGACAAAGGUUGAACGAAAAGGAAAAUCAGCUGAUUAUGUUUCUGAGCAAAAUCUGUCUUCUCACGUUGUCUCUCAAGUAAGAUACCGUA